rnacentral:rRNA from 1 species
UACAGAGGUGGCAAGCGUUAUCCGGAAUUAUUGGGCGUAAAGAGUUCGUAGGCGGUUUGUUAAGUUGGAUGUUAAAGCCCAGGGCCCAACCCUGGAAUGGUGUUCAAAACUGGCAAACUUGAGACAAGUAGAGGCAAGUAGAAUUCUGCAUGUAGGGGUAAUAUCCGUAGAUAUGCAGAGGAAUACCAAAAGCGAAGGCAGCUUGCUGGACUUGUUCUGACGCUCAGGAACGAAAGCGUGGGGAGCGAACGGG